rnacentral:lncRNA from 1 species
GUUAAUGUUGUCUGGAGGAGAGGAGGAGGUUGAUGUUGUACUGUACUCCUGAAGGAGAGGUGGAAAUUUGAUGUUGUACUGUACUCCUGGGGGAGAGGUGGAAGGUUGAUGUUGUCCUGGAGGAGAGGUGGAAGGUUGAUGUUGUCCCGGAGGAGAGGAGAAAGGUUGAUGUUGUACUAGAGGAGAGGAGGAAGGUUGCUGUUGUACUGUACUCCGGGAGGAGAGGAGGAAGGUUGAUGUGUCCGGAGGAGAGGAAGGAAGAUUGAUGUUGUACUGUAGUCCUGGAGGAGAGGAGGAAGGUUGAUGUUGUCCUGGAGGAAGGGGAAAGGUUGAUGUUGUCCUGGAGGAGAGGUGGAAGCGUGAUGUUGUCUUGGGGAGAGGUGGAAGGUUGAUGUUGUCCUGGGAGGAGAGGAGGAAGGUUGAUGUGUGUGCUAGUCCUGGAGGAGAUGAGGAAGGUUGAUGUUGUCCUGGAG